CCGUGAAAACUCACAGCUCAACUGUGGGCGUGCGGGCGAUACGGGCAGACUGGAGUACUGCAGGGGAGACUGGAAUUCCUGGUGUAGCGGUGGAAUGCGCAGAUAUCAGGAGGAACACCGGUGGCGAAGGCGGGUCUCUGGGCAGUAACUGACGCUGAGGAGCGAAAGCGUGGGGAGCGAACAGGAUUAGAUACCCUGGUAGUCCACGCCGUAAACGGUGGGUACUAGGUGUGGGUUUCCU
rnacentral:rRNA from 1 species